GUGGGGAAUAUUGGGCAAUGGGGGCAACCCUGACCCAGCAACGCCGCGUGAGGGAAGAAGGUUUUCGGAUUGUAAACCUCUGUCCUAUGGGAAGAAGGAAGUGACGGUACCAUAGGAGGAAGCCCCGGCUAACUACGUGCCAGCAGCCGCGGUAAUACGUAGGGGGCGAGCGUUGUCCGGAAUUACUGGGCGUAAAGGGUGCGCAGGUGGCCUGACAAGUCAGAUGUGAAAUACCGAUGCUUAACGUCGGGGCUGCAUUUGAAACUAUGAGGCUGGAGUGCAGGAGAGGGAAGCGGAAUUCCUAGUGUAGCGGUGAAAUGCAUAGAUAUUAGGAGGAACACCAGUGGCGAAGGCGACUUUCUGGACGAAAACUGACGCUGAGGCGCGAAAGCCAGGGGAGCGAACGGGAUUAGAUACCCGAGUAGUCC
rnacentral:rRNA from 1 species